GAGAGAGAGAGAGAGGGUAAAUGAGUGUAGGGUCCGGGGGGAACCAGAGUGAAGGGCGGGUGAUUGCGUGCCGCAUUCCUCGCAAAUUGAAAACCCUUUUGGCAUUUCGUUGAAGGGAGGGAAAGAAGCAAGCAAAAGAAAAUAGCCUUCUGUUUCGGCCUCUGCGUCGACCUGCCUGCCCGUCCUCACCCUUUUCUGAAUCACUGUCCAUGGUAAUAUGCAGCUUAGUACGUAGUCUGUAUAUAUGGUAUCCACCUCCCCAUUACUGCUCUGCUACGCCCCAAAACAUACCUAAAUUAUUCUCUCUCUCUCUCAGUCUCUCUCUCUCUGGUGGGUCGGUGGGGGUGGGGGUGCGCGCGCGCUCCCUCUCCUCCCACACACACCAAAAGAGGAAAAAAAAGAAGCAUAUCCUUCCCCAGUAUUUAUCAAGGCAUCUCAGCACAUGCCCAAGGAGUAGAUGGCCAGAUGCUGCUGCCCAGAGCUCUUACUAUGUCUGCGCUCGGAGCUCAUACAAACACUAUUAAAACUGAGCAAGCUGCUGUGUACCAAAAAGAAAAAAAACUGAGCAAGCUCCGUCCCAUCGAUUUCAGUUCAAAUGGAGAAAUGCAGACUGUGAUCUUGACCCCAAAGAGAUGCAACAAAGUGGCAACUGCUAUCAACAUUAUAAAAUUUGGAGUGGAGUGCGCUCACAACAGGUGAAGACUAGUCCUGAAACUGUAACCAGAAUAAUAUAUAGUAAAUCAAGACCGCAUCCUCCGGAAGGAUGAUGCGUACGUACCUAGACAGAAUUCUUUACGCUUGAGUCUGGAAGUGCCCUAUUUGAGCUGUUUAUCUGGAUGAGCUUUAUCGAGCAAGACAGUUGAACAAUAGUUCAAAUUAGGUCACAAACUGUUCAAGAACAAUUGACGGUGCU